GACGAACGCUGGCGGCGUGCUUAACACAUGCAAGUCGAACGGUAAGGCCCUUCGGGGUACACGAGUGGCGAACGGGUGAGUAACACGUGGGUGAUCUGCCCUGCACUUCGGGAUAAGCCUGGGAAACUGGGUCUAAUACCGGAUAGGACCCUGGGAUGCAUGUCCUGGGGUGGAAAGCUUUUGCGGUGUGGGAUGGGCCCGCGGCCUAUCAGCUUGUUGGUGGGGUGAUGGCCCACCAAGGCGACGACGGGUAGCCGGCCUGAGAGGGUGACCGGCCACACGGGGAGUGAGAUACGGCCCAGACUCCGCCGGGAGGCAGCAGUGGGGAAGAGUGCACAAUGGGCGCAAGCCUGAUGCAGCGACGCCGCGGGAGGGAUGACGGCCUUCGGGUUGUAAACCUCUUUCAGCACCGACGAAGCGCAAGGGACGGUAGGUGCAGAAGAAGGACCGGCCAACUACGUGCCAGCCGCCGCCGUAA
rnacentral:rRNA from 1 species